AGAGAGACUGGAGGAUAUUCCAGGCAAUGGGAAUUGCUCUUGCCAAGAGAGAAGGGUGCCAACGCCUGGCUGAGCUGCAUGAAAAGAUGUUGAAAGACUUCUUUGCACAUGUGCACAUUUCACGGGAUCUUGGUGACCAUUUAGAAGACAGAAUCUGUAAACAUGGACUUCUCUGUUCAACCUUGGAACAGGUUUCACAGCUGUGGAAACUGGAGUUUAAAUCUUAAUAGAACUCCACAGGAAUUAAAGACGCUUUAAAACAGGCUAUAUUUUGACCUCAAAUUAGGCAUCUGGCAGUCUCAUUACAGACUCUCCUGCAGACCCCACUGUGGCAAAGAAUUAAAUUCACCAGCAUUCUCUGCUUCCGAGGAAGUGUCCUCUGAGAAUUGCAGCUGGAUUGAACCUUCUUCAUCUGUGAGGACAGAGCACAGCAACAUCCCUAACAUGUUUGUUUCCCUUAAUCCUUUCAAGUGCCUUUGGGGAAUAAACGGUAGCGCAGUGGUUGAAGUCUUCAGUUUUUUAGCUCACCUUCAUUUCCUUCAACUCUAAGUAACUGCUUUACAUGCUAGAAUAGGUUACCAUAGCAAUAUUUUCUGAGCAAUAGGUGGGCUGAAUUGCACUAUUGAAGACUCACAGGAGAAAAUAUGAAAUAACAACCUGAGAAAGUCCAGCGAGCUGCAGAGCGUCGAGACUAUUAAAACAAGGGGCUCAAUGGGUUCCCUUGUGAUCGAUCAGAAACACUGUAGCCCCCAGCUCGAAUCAAGUGCUGUGUGGGCAACUGUGAAUCACUCCCCAAAUCCCCACCUCCUCAUCUCCAAGUCACCCAUCCACGAAGCUCAAAUGCUAAAAACAAAUGAGGAGAGGGGGAAUCUUUGAAAUUCAUAUCCACAAUGGGUACUUGACAAAGCUCUCCUAUGGGAAUCCUGGGAAGGUGGUGGUCAUCAUGCCAGGAUAAUUUUUGGAUCUUUCUGCAUACCCACAUAAAAAGGGAGCAACCAAAGAGCAAAAAAAUCCACAGGAAAAAAAAAAAAGAAAAAGCCACAGGCAAUAAUUACAACAAAAAGUAGGUUACAGAGAAUCCUGUUGAAUCCCACAGCACAAGUGGGUGGGACAAAGCAGCCAACAGCCACAGACCUGUUUGUUAUUGGCAAAGUGCAGGAGGAAAUGAUGGGAAACCAUGCAGUAGCCAAUGGACCUAAGAACAGGAGCACCCCCAAAAUAACCAACAAGGGGGCAAUUUGCGACCAGCUGCUGAAACGAGGUUUUCCCACUCUAUCGUGAGUAAGGGCAAAGUCAGAAGGGCUGGAGGAGUCUAGCCGCUUUGAACUCUUUUUGAUAGCUCUAUUGAGAUAUAAUAUAGAGGCAUAUUGGGCUUCCUAGGUGGUGCUAGUGGUAAAGAACCUGGCUGCUAAUGCAGGAGAUGUCAGAGACUCGGAUUUGAUCCCUGGGUCAGGAAGAUCCCCUGGAGGAGGGCUUGGCAACCCACUCCAGUACUCUUGCCUGGAGAAUCCCCAUGGACAGAGGAGCCUGGCGGGCCAGAGUCCAUAGGGUCAUAAAGAGUCAGACACAACUGAAGCAACUGGGCACACACUCAUAGAGGUAUAUUACUAUAAAAUUCUAGUACCAUACAGUUUCACCCCGAAAGUGUUUUUCAUGUAUUCAAGAAGCUGUGCAACUAUCACCACCAUCAAUUUUAGAACAUUGUCACCACCUCAAAAGUAAACCUGUACCCAUUAG
ensembl:lncRNA